rnacentral:rRNA from 1 species
AACAGGAUUAGAUACCCUGGUAGUCCACGCCGUAAACGAUGUCGACUUGGAGGUUGUGCCCUUGAGGCGUGGCUUCCGGAGCUAACGCGUUAAGUCGACCGCCUGGGGAGUACGGCCGCAAGGUUAAAACUCAAAUGAAUUGACGGGGGCCCGCACAAGCGGUGGAGCAUGUGGUUCAAUUCGAUGCAACGCGAAGAACCUUACCUACUCUUGACAUCCAGAGAACUUUCCAGAGAUGGAUUGGUGCCUUCGGGAACUCUGAGACAGGUGCUGCAUGGCUGUCGUCAGCUCGUGUUGUGAAAUGUUGGGUUAAGUCCCGCAACGAGCGCAACCCUUAUCCUUUGUUGCCAGCGGUCCGGCCGGGAACUCAAAGGAGACUGCCAGUGAUAAACUGGAGGAAGGUGGGGAUGACGUCAAGUCAUCAUGGCCCUUACGAGUAGGGCUACACACGUGCUACAAUGGCGCAUACAAAGAGAAGCGACCUCGCGAGAGCAAGCGGACCUCAUAAAGUGCGUCGUAGUCCGGAUUGGAGUCUGCAACUCGACUCCAUGAAGUCGGAAUCGCUAGUAAUCGUAGAUCAGAAUGCUACGGUGAAUACGUUCCCGGGCCUUGUACACACCGCCCGUCACACCAUGGGAGUGGGUUGCAAAAGAAGUAGGUAGCUUAACCUUCGGGAGGGCGCUUACCACUUUGUGAUUCAUGACUGGGGUGAAGUCGUAACAAGGUAACC